GAUGAACGCUAGCGGCAGGCUUAAUACAUGCAAGUCGUGGGGCAGCAUGGUGUGUAGCAAUACACACUGAUGGCGACCGGCAAACGGGUGCGGAACACGUACGCAACUUACCCUUAAGUGGGGGAUAGCCCGGGGAAACCCGGAUUAAUACCUCGUAACACUGUGAAGUGGCAUCACUUUAUAGUUAUAGCUCCGACGCUUAAGGAUGGGCGUGCGUCCCAUUAGGUAGUUGGGUGAGGUAACGGCUCACCAAGCCUGCGAUGGGUAACUGGUGUGAGAGCACGACCAGUCACACGGGCACUGAGACACGGGCCCGACUCCUACGGGAGGCAGCAGUAAGGAAUAUUGGUCAAUGGACGCAAGUCUGAACCAGCCAUGCCGCGUGGAGGAUGAAGGCCCUCUGGGUUGUAAACUUCUUUUAUGGGGGACGAAACCCCGGAUUUUUAUCCGGCCUGACGGUACCCCAGGAAUAAGCACCGGCUAACUCCGUGCCAGCCGCCGCAGUAAAAC
rnacentral:rRNA from 1 species